CUAUUCUAUUUCUCAUCUCAUCGAAAACUACAAUUACAAAAAAAAAGAUGGCGCUAUCAAUCAAACAGGGUUACUAUUUUUCGUAUUUAUUUAACUUACUUACUAGUCAUUAUAUUUAUGGUUCCGUAUAUUAUACUCGAAAUAUAAAUAUAACUUAUGAAAAAAAACAAAAUCGGUGCCUCUUAUAUUUUAAAAUUAUGAACCUGUAGAAUGACGAUUACAUAUUAAAUGUCAGACGAAACUGUUUAUGAUAGAUAUAGACGGCGCCAGAUUUUUUGUCGAACAAAUAAUGUUCGACCAUCAUGACCUUUCAAAUUACGAGUACCUUUCUAUACAAUUUCUAUAUAAAUCGUUGAUUACGGAAUAAUAGCAAAUAGUAAAUAAAAAGUUCGUCAAUUACGGACAACAAGAUGGUCUCUGAAAUAUCGGCAGUCAAUUUUGGCUGUGUACUUUACAACAAACUCGGCGGUCGUCCAAGAUUCCUUUCAUAUGCUUCGUAAAAUUAUGAGCCAUUGAUUUCUACGUGCACGCAGAGCCUCUGCCGGAUCCUUCAGGAGAUAACUUUCUCCACGAAAACACUGAAUUGACUUUUCGUCACGUCGGUGAUUUUAAUGUUCGCACAACGUGAAUAACCUUUCGAUAUACGUCCGGUCACUUAGGUAUAAAUCAUUCGGUACAUACGCAAGAAAUUUACAUAAACAGUGUACAGACGAGGCCUGAAACGAAUCCGGACAUAAAAUUGGCGAAGAAAGAUCGACGUGGUGACGACCGUGUGGAACAAAUAUUUUAAC